rnacentral:rRNA from 1 species
GACGAACGCUGGCGGCGUGCCUAAUACAUGCAAGUCGAACGCAGUGGGGACGGGUGAGUAACACGUGGGUAACCUCCCAUAAGAGGGGAUAACACUUGGAAACAGGUGCUAAACCGAUACUGAUGGAGCGACUCGCGGGGGAUUAGCUAGUUGGUGGGGUAAAGGCUCACCAAGUCCACGAUGCCUAGCUGACCUGAGAGGGUGAUCGGCCACACUGGAACUGAGACACGGUCCAGACUCCUACGGGAGGCAGCAGUGGGGAAUAUUGGACAAUGGGCGAAAGUCUGACGCAGCAAUGCCGCGUGUACGAAGAAGGCCUUCGGGUUGUAAAGCACUUUCGGCGGGGAAGCGGUACCUGCAGAAUAAGCACCGGCUAACUCCGUGCCAGCAGCCGCGGUAAUUC